GAUGAACGCUGGCGGCGUGCCUAAUACAUGCAAGUCGAACGCAUUGUGGUUGAAAUGAUAUGAAGAACUUGUUCAGAUUUGAUUUUCAACAUUGCAAUGAGUGGCGAACGGGGUGAGUAACACGUGGGAAACCUACCUCUUAGCAGGGGAUUACAUUUGGAAACAAAUGCUAAUACCGUAUAAUAAUUAAAACCGCAUGGUUUUAGUUUAAAAGAUGGUCUUGCUAUCACUAAGAGAUGGUCCCGCGGUGUAUUAGUUAGUUGGUGAGGUAAUGGCUCACCAAGACAAUGAUACAUAGCCGAGUUGAGAGACUGACGGCCGACAAUGGGACUGAG
rnacentral:rRNA from 1 species